UACGGAGGGUGCGAGCGUUGUCCGGAAUCACUGGGCGUAAAGGGCGCGUAGGCGGCCUGAUAAGUAGGGGGUGAAAUCCUGCGGCUUAACCGCAGGGCUGCCUUCUAAACUGUCAGGCUUGAGCACAGUAGAGGCAGGUGGAAUUCCCGGUGUAGCGGUGGAAUGCGUAGAGAUCGGGAAGAACACCGGUGGCGAAGGCGGCCUGCUGGGCAGUUGCUGACACUGAGGCGCGACAGCGUGGGGAGCAAACAGG
rnacentral:rRNA from 1 species